CUGGAUUAACUUCCUCUGCUUAAAUGGGUUGAAUUGAUUUGGUAUAUGGCCUGAUGAGCCAGCUGAUGUAGGCUUGUAUAGCUCCGCUCAAGCAAUAUUGAGUAACUUCCUCUUCAGCCUCCAGGGCCCAAAUCUCGGGGUUAAGAUUCUAGAUUUAUGUUUCUUUUCAGUAAUGUUUCCUGUCUGACUUUGGCUCCGAAAAGGAUAAUCCUACAGGAUAUGAGCAGAUGGGGAAAGCAGCAAAAUCCGGGGAUUCCUGCUACACCUCUCACUCACCCGCCGCUAAGCUGCAUUUUGGAAGCCUGGCCUCCAGAUAUCCUGGCUCAAGACAUCCUGAGAUGUGUCACCCUCCAGUGAAAACAGUGUCUACCAUUAACUUCAGUAGAGAAAUGGCCCUUGGAGGAAGAAUAUGUGCACUUCUGUUUCUCUGCUGUUGGUGGGAAAGCGCUAUUUGAAAGGAUGAAUGUGUUACGUCUCUCACUUCAGAUUGGUUCAGCGUCACAUUUCUGGCUGUAUGAAAAAUCUGUACCCUUGCACAAAAGAGGCUAUUACAUUCAAAAGUUUUAAGUAUUAACAAAAUAUUUCAGCAGCUGAUGGCUUCCAUGAUGGGAAUUUUAAAUGAAUGGACAGGAAAACAAUUACCCAAAAAGCUUCAGAAGAGAAGAGUUACCUUGGCUCUCAAGUAGCCCUUGUUUUUGAAAACUUUUGAAAACUGUUUACGAGACCUGCAAGCAAAAAGAGGAAAACUGGAGUUGAAAUGUAGCAAAGAGUGCAAAACGUGUAUUUCUUCUCAUCCCCUGGUAUGAACAUACAGAUAACCUAUUGAUUGAUUAGCUUAUUUCUGUGAAUUUGGACAAAAUGGGGAAGAAGUGAAUAAUGAGGAAACAUUCAUUUUGUGUUUGAUUUACAAAACAAGAAAACUAAGUAACG
rnacentral:lncRNA from 1 species